GGGCCCUUGGUCUAUCGGUACGACGUCUCCAUGGCAUGGAGAAGAUAAGGGGUUCAAUUCCCCUAGGGUCCACCA
rnacentral:tRNA from 1 species